AUGCUUUUGUAGUUCAUAAGUAUGAUGAUUGGGUGCUCACGCUGUUGUGUGAUAUAGGCCUCCCUCAAACCCUGUUAUGACCGGGGCACUUUAACUGCUUGAUG